rnacentral:tRNA from 1 species
GACCGCGUAGCUCAGUUGGCAGAGCAUUGGGCUAGUAUUCCAAAGGUCGUAGGUUCGAUUCCCACUCUGGCCA